GCCAUUGAUUGAGUCGCCCACUAUCAGGACAGGGAAUCAGCUUCAAGGCCCUGUUUAUCACGACGAACCUACUUGAAGCUGCUGCACUAGCAAAAAGAUCAGCCAAUUCUGACGU